CGUGUAGGCGGUUUCAUAAGUCGUGCGUGAAAGCUCCCUGGCUCAACCGGGAGAGGUCGUGCGAUACUGCGAAACUUGAGUCAGACAGAGGCAAGUAGAAUUCCGGGUGUAGUGGUGAAAUGCGUAGAUAUCCGGAGGAAUACCAGUGGCGAAGGCGACUUGCUGGGUCUGUACUGACGCUCAGACGCGAAAGCAUGGGGAGCGAACGGGAUUAGAAACCCCGGUAGUCCAUGCUGUAAACGAUGUCAACUAGGCGUUGGGGGCUAGAUGCCCUCAGUGCCGAAGCCAACGCGAUAAGUUGACCGCCUGGGGACUACGGCCGCAAGGCUAAA
rnacentral:rRNA from 1 species